rnacentral:rRNA from 1 species
AAAACGACUCUCGGCAACGGAUAUCUUGGCUCACGCAUCGAUGAAGAACGUAGCAAAAUGCGAUACUUGGUGUGAAUUGCAGAAUCCCGUGAACCAUCGAGUUUUUGAACGCAAGUUGCGGCCAAAGCCUUUUGGUCGAGGGCACGUCUGCCUGGGCGUCACAC